CAGAGAGCUUGCUGUCAGUCUGCAUACACACAUAGCGGACAUGGAUGGGGAGUACAACCGGCGCAGGAGGUACACUCAUGAUACCUUUGGUAAGUAGCUUUAAAAACCUCCUAAAGAUACCCUGUUAAUGGCAAUUUAUUUGGUUUCCACAUUCAGACAUGAUUUGGAAUAAUCUUUUCAUUUGUGCUCUUAUUUCUUUGUGUAUAAGUGUUAAUUUAUAUAUGUAGUUUUGUACAUGCACAGAAACCUACUUGCUGUUCGUUUAGAAUAUUAAGAUAUUUUGUCGGGAUUUUCAUUUAUUUUAUAUUCGUAUUAAACCUCUCACUGGCAGUGCCCUUGUAGAGGCUCUGAUAGACGUACUGGUUUACUGUUUUACAACUAGUAUAUGCUUAGUAUAAGUUGUUGUUUUUUUUUGUUUGUUUUUUAAAUAAAUUACAUUGAUUAAAAUAUUUGUCUGUAUAAGUACUGAUUAGCCACAUUAUUAGAAUUUUAAGCUUAUUUAUGAGUGUAUUUUAUUCUAUACAUAUUGCAUAUAUUUAAACACCACACCUUUUUUAACUCUUUAGUGAAAUGGGUUUAAACAAAUUUCUUUAAAUCAUGGCAUUCUGGUGACUCUUUUCAGGAAGUAGUUAAAAUGUGUUAUUUAUUUAGACUUGUAGUUAUAUAUAUGGGUUUUGUCAAACUUAACCAAAGUAACAACUUGACUGUUUUUAUCCGAUUUUUCAUUUUGCUACAAUUCCUAGUUUAGUAAAUAUCCCCUUCAGCUGAUGAUGGUCCACAAACAACUACACCUUGUCUGUUGCAAGUCAAGUCAGUAAAACUGUGGCCCAGUAAUAAUGCAUUACUGAUCACUUGCAUUACUAAUCACUUGGUCUUCCUCCAAUUAAGAUAUGUAAAGAAAAAAUAAAACACUUCAAAGUUUAAUGUAUGUAUUUUUGGAAACCGAAAUACAUACACAUGUAGAAUAAAACUGCAGCUAAAUAUUAAUGAACACCUCUAGAACUUGCCUACUGUUGUUCUUAUUUUUAUUUUUUUGAGAUGGUUUUUAUUCAAAAUUUGUUGGUGACUUAUCACAGAACAGCACACUAAAACACAGCAUAUUAGGCAUAAAAUCAAAGGGAGAAUUAACUCUUGUAUGUGAUACACAUAAUUAAAACCAGAUACAGAUUGUACAGUUAGAAACCAUAUUUGGUGCAGUUCUGUGGUGCCUGUACACAACUUUGUUUAUUUGUAAGAUUGUAACUCUUCACGUUAACUAUUCAUGAGCGUUGUUCAGGAGCAGCAGGCUGAGGAGAAGAAAAGACAUUGUAAGGGCGCAAAGUGAAAUGUGAAUGAUGGAAUCUGAGGAAAGAGAAUGGAAGGUAGAAAAAAAACAAAACAAACGCCCUCACAUUGUAGGUGGCUAGAGAAAGAAAAGGUAGCUCGCCUGCACCAUCUCACCCUUCCCCAACUCCAGCCAAUUCUCUGCUAGUCAGUGACUCGGUGCAAUAUUAGUAUCCAAUGGUGGCUACCGAGAUUCUUACAGUGUGUCACUUUAAUCGACACAAUUACAUAAUGUUUAGGUUUAAAAAAAAGCUGAUAAAACGGGUUCCUUCAGAACCUAGCAGAUGGCUUACUGUACAGUCCAAUUCGUUCUCCUGUAUUAUACUUCUGUUAUUUACUAAACACAGUCAAAGUGUUUAUUAUGGUUUGGAGAAGAGAAGUCAUGGUUGGAGUUGUGUUUCAGUAGAACUGGGCAGAUACCUUAAGAUCAUCGUUUUAUGAACCAUAUGAAAUUAAAACAAACAGUAUAUGCCUUUUUUGUUUUCCCCCUUUCUGAAAACUAUUAAUUAUAAGGUUUACAAUUUUCAGGCAAUGAUACAAUGUCGAUACUUUACAUAAAGUGCUGUUUUAAUUUUUCUUUUCACAUUUGUGCCUUCAAACUAGAACUGUCACUAUGUAGAUUAUUGGCACUCGUCUAAACAAGUAAUUAAAGAUGAUUUAAUUACCUUUGGUCCCACAGCUCACCGGUCUCUCCAAUGCUGCAGUUCUGCUCCGGCUGAGAUCAUUGGCCAUAAUCUCAGCCAAUCCAAUGCUACCCCAUAGGUAAGCAUUGAUGGGGGCUACUGUGCGUUCUCGUCACUUGCCACGCUGUGCCCAUCUCCUCAUUAGCUCAAUAUCUCUCGUACAGCGUAAGAAGACACCGAACAAAUGCAAAGAUUUUAAUACUGCAACAGGAAGAGGUUUUUGUGGUGUCUGAGUGACAUGCACUAGAGGUGUCCUUAGUAGGUAAUGCAAACACCUACUUUUCUAAGGAAAGGCAAUGUUUACAUUGCUGAGUCUUCAGGGACAGUCUCUUUGCACCAAAACCACUACGUUAAUCAGUAGUGGUUCUGGUGCUUAGAGCAUCCAUUGUAAAGUGCUCCUGCCUUACAGAUAAUGCAUUGUAUAGCUAAUCCUAUUAAAACAGGCAAAAUAAUCUCUUAGUUUCCUGAGUAUUAGCAGUCACAGCAGUGAGAGCCCAACAAUCCUACCAGCCAAUACUAGUCCUUUGACCACUUCCAAGGGGUGUGCUGGGCAUAUUUUAUAAAUUCCCGCACAGCAGGAAGUUUAGCACCUGACCGGUUUUGCACGUUAAAUGUAUGAAUGAGGGGGCGGGGCUAGCCGCAGAACAGAGCGGUCGCGUUCUCUCGAACUUCCUGCUUAUGCUCUUAGUAUUACGGUGAUAAGGCGAAAUUGGUGCCAGGACCCGACGGCAAACUAACACUCUACUGCCUGAGGGUGCAAUGGGUUGGAAAAACAAACAGCGGGCAGACACAGGCCCCUCCAGCUGAGACAUGGCAGAAUUGCUGCGGGGUUUCGAAGGUGCUGUCCUUUACACACCAGGGCUCGACAUACAAGGCUUCGAGUUACCAAGAGCUGGAAUAUCACCCACAAUACCCUAACACUAUACAGGAGUACUCCCCCCCACCCCACUCAACCCAACGCAAAGUGCGUGCCAGGAUAGAAACCUGAACACCACCCCCCCAGAAGUCAGACUCCCAAACUCAUAAAGGGCCCACCAAAUAACACUACCAUGAACUACAUUUAUAUGUAAGCUGCCACAGGCUGUUUAAAUGUUCUUCCAUAUGGUUAAUUAUGUUUUAUGUUUCCCUUUAUGCCCACUCAUAAGGCCUAUAUUAUGCCCCCUCCAUGUCUUGGUAGUGGGAUUUCGUACCUUAUCUGCAGACCCAGAGAGGGCAUCUAUUCCUUUAGAGGUUUUAUUAUACAUGUGUGCCUUUCCUGUCCAAUACUGUCCUACCCUAUGGGGGAAAAUACCUCCUAAAUGUCUCCUUUUGUGUAAUAUUUUUGUUUUUCUAAACUAAUUAGCAUACUUCUGUGCCCAUGGUGCUUUCUUUCAAAGACUCAACCAAUGCUCAUAACCACGGACACACUAGUCUGAUUCCUCUAAUUCUACAAAAGUGCCUAAAUCUAACUGCCAUAUACGUGUUUCCUUUGUUUGACAUACGUCUGCAUCUGCUGUUGUAGAAUAAAGGAAAGAGGUCCAGGCACUCCUUGGUUCAAAGAAGGCACUUUAUUAGAACUACAGCAACGUUUCGACCAUCUUGGUCUUUUAGACCAAGAUGGUCGAAAUGUUGCUGUAGUUCUAAUAAAGUGCCUUCUUUGAACCAAGGAGUGCCUGGACCUCUCCUUUAUUCUACUCCUUUAAUGGAAUCUGGUGUUUGGUUCUGGUACAAUUAAGCACCCUGGCUCAGACUGAUGGGAGUGAGUGCAGUUCUCUAAACACUCUGCAUGCAUCUGCUGUUGUGGCAUAGCAGGCUUCAUUGUUAUACUCUGCACAAUAAAAAUAAGGAAUAUAAAAAAAAUUUAAUGUAUGAAUGAAACUGCUUAGCAAGAUAACAGAACUGCUCCAUCCUGCAUUCUCCCCUCUCAUUUAUUUCUCUCCUAUGCCCAACUUGAGUGUGUACUUUUCUAUACUGCACUCCCUGCAAGUUGGCAGGGCUCGGUAGUGGCAACCCCAUCCUAGUGUGUGUUCACGAUUUGCUUGCAAGAUCAAAUGUCCCUAAGGCCACCCGGGGAGCAAUUUUGUGAAUGUUCUGAAAUUUGAAUCAGAUUUGAUUACAGAAGGUAAAGUUUCAGUCCUGUUUGAUACUUUCAUUACUUUACCAGAGUCCUGCAGUGCCCAUCACAUGUCAUCAGACCCAAUAUGUUGGAUAACCAUUAUAAAUGUGUUGUAAAGUAAAUAUUUUAAAAUUGCAGGUUAUGGACAAUAUUAAGGGCACAUGAUGCAGCCUCUUGAUGUUCUCUUUUGCAGGACCAAUAGAUUACAUUUCUGUUAAAUUUGCCGUUUCCGUGUAAAAGGUCAUAUUUUUUCUGCUUAAAUUGAUUUUCUCACUUUCUGCCAUGUGAGUUGCUAAGGAUUUUAGUACUCUCCAUUUUAUAUAACUACACGUUGCGUUAAAGGAACGCUUUACUAUACUGAUUAUGGUGCAAGGCAGUGCCCUGAGGCAAUAUUUCUCAACCUUUUAAGGCAAAGUAUCCCUGCAGGUCUAAAAAAAGUCAUUGGUGCCCCUCCCUUGAGAAGGCAAUAUCUAUUGAUUUUAAAUUCCAAAUUGAACAUUUAGACACUGACAUUGAAGUUAUUCCCCUAUUGGAGAACAAUCCUGAUUUAAAGGUAGUAAAGAAUAUUUUAAAAAAAUUAAAAAAAAUUUAAUAAAUUAAAUCAUGUGAAUAUUGUGUACGUAAGGAAGAGUGUAUGAACUUUGAAACAAAAGUAUAAAAGUCACAAAAUGAGAAUAUAAUACACAGAGGACACUGGUACAUACACACGGUUGCACACAAGAGGCUCUUGAAGAGCCACCUUACUGGCGAAACGCUUGUCGGGGCUCUACUGCAACUUUUUUCCCCCCCUCCUUUAGCCAAUAUUCAUCCCUUCCCUACUCUCAUCCGUUACUAUACUUACCUGAGAUUCUCUCCUUACACUUUAUUAUCGGAUGUUAUAGAUAGACAAGAUUUUUGAGGGAUCGCUAGGGAACAGUUCAGCUAGUGUAUUUAUAGUAAUUACAAAUCUGGGAAAUUGAUAGUUUAGUAAUUAUACUAGGUGCCCUUGAAGGCACAGGCGCAGGGUUAAGCGAAUACUGACAGGUAACAGAUUUUCUUCAUUGAAAGACACUGAUAAAACUGACAUUAUAGAUAACCAUUCUACCUAUCGGGGCUUCUAUAAAGAUUUACUAAUCAGCACCAGUUACUUGUCGUUUCAGUUAACCCACCAACUUCCAGCCCAGUUCACACUAUAGAUUAUAUCCUAUUGCUAUUUGUACUACUAUUUUGUUUCAUUAAUUUUCUAGGAUUGAGACCGGAACUUAAGUCUGUUUUUUCAAACUAGACAUUUAGGCGACAUUCCCCCUUUUCCUCUCUCCUAGUUCUACUUAUUUAUAGAUACCUACCUUUAUUUAACAUUGUUUCAUAUAUUAGUAUGAUCUCUGAUAGCUACUUUUCUUCAGUCAUUUGUUGUACUGAAAAGCAACUAAUUUGUUCAACCAGGAGUAUACAACUGUAAAAAUGUUUUUUUUUUUUUUGUUUUUUUUCGUCCUGGUAAACACCCAAUAAUUAUCUCAUUUACAUACUAAAUUCUCUACAAAAGUACCUAUCUUUUGUUACUACUCUUCCUGUAUAUAUUUCUUUAACCCCUUGUAUCCCUGCAGGGCCGGACUGGGAGAAAAAUUCGGCCCGGGCAUUUUUUUAACACAGCGGCCCACUAAAAAGGGGGCGGGGCAGAGGAGGUGUGUUUUGUCAUCACCAAUGACAAACAUGCCUCCUCUCAAAGUGAGCAUGUUGGUUCAAUGCUCUUCCAGGGCAGACCAUGCGCAGAGCUCUGCUGAAGAGCUCUAGCAUGAGAAAAAAGUCCUGUAUUUGUUCUGCACAGUGCAAGAAAUUUAAUAACAUGCUUGCACUGUGUUUCCUUGCAACUUGUCUCUGGUGUCUCUAUAAAUGGAUACCAGGAGACAAAAAUGGCCAGGAAAGAGUAUUGUGCAUGUGUUUGGAGCCUGCUUGUGGUAUUGCGUGUGUGUAGAGUGAGCUGGUCGUGGUGUGGUAUUGUGUAAUAAGGUCAGUUUUAGUCGUGUUGUGUUUGUGGUGUAAUGUGAUGCAUAUGUGGCUCAGGGACCCCCUCCUGCCCGGCUCUGGAAAGGGGUUAAAACUUACCUUUUUCCAGCGCCGGGCUGGGAGCUCUCCUCCGAUCCGCCCCGUCGGCUGAACGCGCACACGCGGCAAGAGCUGCGCACGCAUUCAGCCGGUCGCAUAGGAAAGCAUUUAUAAUGCUUUCCUAUGGACGCUUGUGUGCUCUCACUGUGAUUUUCACAGUGAAAAGCACGCAAGCGCCUCUAGCGGCUGUCAAUGAGACAGCUGCUAGAGGCUUUGGGGGAAGGCUUAACCCAUUGAUAAACAUAGCAGUUUCUCUGAAACAGUUAUGUUUAUAAAACAAUGGGUUAACCCUAGAAGGACCUGGCACCAAGACCACUUCAUUAAGCUGAAGUGGUCUGGGUGGCUAGAGUGGUCCUUUAAGAGUGUAGUGUGUGUGUGUAUAUAUAUAUAUAUAUAUAUAUUUGGAAGUAUUGUGUAUGUGUGUGGUGCAGUGUGUUGGGGGGUUCUGUGUGUAUGUGAGGGGUGCAGUAUGUGUGUGUGUGAGGGUGCGGUGUGUGUGUGAGGGGUGCGGUGUGUGUGAUGUGUGUGAGAGUGCCGUGUGUGAGUGAUGGGUGUGAGAGUGCUGUGUGAGAUGGGUGUGUGAGAUNNNNNNNNNNNNNNNNNNNNNNNNNNNNNNNNNNNNNNNNNNNNNNNNNNNNNNNNNNNNNNNNNNNNNNNNNNNNNNNNNNNNNNNNNNNNNNNNNNNNGUCCGUCUGGAUUCGUGCCCCUGGAUGGGGUCCGGGAUGCAGGGUAGCGGGACGGCGGCCGUCCGCCCCACUCACUGCCGGAGUAGGCCUCAUGUUUCGUUCGAGAUUUUCUCCUCCAGGGGACUGCAGCUCUGUGAGCCAGCCUUUCCCUGGAUCCAGUAGCCCCUUUGUUCCAGGCAACUUCGCUGACGGUCAGUUUUAACGCGGAAAAUCGUGGUUUUUUUGUGUGUCAUUGGUUUAAUCGCAGGAGCUGCUCUUACUUGCGACCGUCCAUCUUGGCGGUCCGGCCCCGCCCCUCGAGAAAUAAUAAUUUUUAAUUAUCUCUUAGACUCAUGUCUGUUCUUCUAUAUUUAAAUAAUACAAAUCGUGGCCCAUUUGACCAUUUUUCUUAACCACUAAUUCUUUACCAAACGUGCCACAAAGCGAGAGAUAUUUUGACCAGUUUGUAUUUAUGAAUACGCACUCCGAGCCUCCGACCACUUCUAUUGACUACCCAAGCCUGCUUCUAGAAAAGCAAUAUCUAAACUAAAUACAUUCUUUUUAGCAUCAGACGUUUCUGUAAGAAAUAAAAUUGAGGGUAUUUAAAUUUACAGUUUUAUUCUGUACCAGAUAAUUAUUGGUUACAGUGGAUAUUAUAGUAGUGUCUCCAAUGGCCAAUGUGCUGUGAAGUGUGAGCUGGCUCCUUCUUGCUGCUGAGAUAGUGGGGUUUCAGUUCGACAGUUUAUUGGCCGCUCAGACGUGGCUUACCGUGAGCGAAGUAUUAGGGGAUGCGCCUCUCGGAUGGAUUUGUGUUCUUUCUCCUGACCUCAGAACAUGACUAGAGAUGAGAAAUGAUAAAAAGGCAAUUAAAAAGCAAUGUGCAGCCUCAGCCACAAUAAAAAAGGAUUUCCUUUCAAUAGUCUCUUGGUCACCUUGACUUCAGUAUAAAAAAGAGAAUUCUCAGGAGGUUACUCUCUUGGUAGCUAUCUUCUCCUUUCUUUCUCCACCUCAUUUUAACCAUUUUUGGUUUGAUUGGGCUGUCAGGGCUGUGUUGUGCUUAUUACACAAAGGGGUAAAAAUGCAUGCUACCAAAUAGAUAUAUAGUGUGAACGCUCCUAUGUCACGUGACUCGACAGUAUCGUGCAUAGAGAUUAAUAGAAUCAUAUGGUGAAUAUAUUACAAAGAGUACUAAUAGUGGAUGCAUUAUGUUGCUUAUAGUGGAUGCAUAGCACACAGGGUUAAUAGGCAGUCCUGCAGUGAUAUUCAGUGCUGCAAUGCUAAUAGUGGAUGCAUAACAUAUAGGGUUAAUAGGCAGUGCUGCAGUGGUAGGCAGUGCUGCAGUGCUUAUAGUGGAUGCAUAACAUAUAGGGUUAAUAGGCAUUGUUAAUAGUGGAUGUAUUACACAGAGGGUUAAAAGGCAGUGCCAAUGGUGGAUGUAUUACACAGAGGGUUAAUAGGCAGUGCUAAUGGUUGAUGUAUUACACAGAGGGUUAAUAGGCAGUGCUAAUAGUGGAUGUAUUACACAGAGGGUUUAUAGGCAGUGCUAAUGGUGGAUGUAUUACACAGAGGGUUAAUAGGCAGUGCUAAUGGUGGAUGUAUUACACAGAGGGUUAAUAGGCAGUGCUAAUGGUGGAUGCAUUACACAGAGGGUUAAUAGGCAGUGCUAAUGGUGGAUGUAUUACAGAGGGUUACUAGACAGUGAUAAUAGUGAAUGUAUUACACAGAGGGUUAGUAGGCAGUGGUAAUGGUGGAUUUAUUACACAGAGGGUUAAUAGGCAGUGCAAAUAGUGGAUGUAUUACACAGAGGGUUAAUAUGCAGUGCUAAUGGUGGAUGCAUUACAUAGAGGGUUAAUAGGCAGUGCUAAUAGUGGAUGUAUUACACAGAGGGUUUAUAGGCAGUGCAAAUAGUGGAUGUAUUACACAGAGGGUUAAUACAUGUGCUAAUGGUUGAUGCAUUACACAGAGGGUUAAUAGGCAGUGCUAAUAGUGGAUGUAUUACACAGAGGGUUUAAAGGCAGUGCUAAUGGUGGAUGCAUUACACAGAGGGUUAAUACAUGUGCUAAUGGUUGAUGAUCAACCAUUAGCACAUGUAUUAACCCUCUGUGUAAUGCAUCCACCAUUAGCACUGCCUUUAAACCCUCUGUGUAAUACAUCCACUAUUAGCACUGCCUAUUAACCCUCUGUGUAAUACAUCAACCGUUGAUGUAUUACACAGAGGGUUAAUAGGCAGUGCUAAUAGUGGAUGUAUUACACAGAGGGAUAAUAGGCAGUGCUAAUGGUGGAUGUAUUACACAGAGGGUUAAUAGGCAGUGCUAAUAGUGGAUCUAUUACACAGAGGGAUAAUAGGCAGUGCUAAUGGUGGAUGUAUUACACAGAGGGUUAAUAGGCAGUGCUAAUAUUGGAUCUAUUACACAGAGGGAUAAUAGGCAGUGCUAAUGGUGGAUGUAUUACACAGAGGGUUUAUAGGCAGUGCUAAUGGUGGAUGUAUUACACAGAGGGUUAAUAGGCAGUGCUAAUAGUGGAUCUAUUACACAGAGGGUUAAUAGGCAGUGCUAAUAGUGGAUGUAUUACACAGAGGGUUAGUAGGCAGUGCCAGGGCCGGACUGGGAGAAAAAUUUGGCCCGGGCAUUUUUUCACCACAGCGGCCCAUUAAGAAGGGGGCGGGGCAGAGGAGGUGUGUUUUGUCAUCACCAAUGACAAACACGCCCCCUCUCAAAGUGAGCAUGUUGGUUCAAUGCUCUUCCAGGGCAGACCAUGCGCAGAGCUCUGCUGAAGAGCUCCAGCAUGAGAAAAAAGCCCUGUAUUUGCACUGUGCUUGCACUGUGUUUCCUUGCAACUUGUCUCUGGUGUCUCUAUAAAUGGAUACCUGGAGACAAAAAUGCCAGGAAAGAGUAUUGUGCAUGUGUUUGGAGCCUGCUUGUGGUAUUGCGUGUGUGUAGAGUGAGUUGAUUGUGGUGUGGUAUUGUAUAAUAAGGUUAGUCAUGUUGUGUUUGUGGUGUAAUGGGAUGCAUAUGUGGCUAGGGGCUGUAGAGAAUGUGUGUAUAGGGGAUAUAGCAAGUGUGUGCAUACAGGCUAUAGUGUGUGUUUGUGUGUGUGUGUGUGUGUGUGUGUGUGUGUGUAUAUAGGUGAUGUAGUAUGUGUUUGCUUACAAGGAAUCUAGUGUGUGUAUGUGUAUAUAUAUAUAUAUAUAUAUAUAUAUAUAUAUAUUUGGAAGUAUUGUGUAUGUGUGUGGUGCAGUGUGUUGGGGGGGUUCUGUGUGUAUGUGAGGGUGCGGUGUGUGUGCUGGGUGUGAGAGAGUGCUGUGUGUGAGAGAGUGCUGGGUGUGAGAGAGUGCUGUGUGUGAUGGGUGUGUGAGAGAGUGCUGUGUGUGAGAGAGUGCUCUGUGUGCUGAGUGAGAGAAUGCUGGAUGUGAGAGAGUGCUGUGUGUGAUGGAUGAGAGAGUGCUGGGUGUGUGAGAGUGCUGUGUGAGAGAGUGCUGUGUGAUGUGUGAGAGUGCUGUGUGAGAGAGUGCUGUGUGUGAUGGGUGUGAGAGUGCUGUGUGAGAGAGUGCUGUGGGAGAGAGAGCUGUGUGUGAUGGGUGUGAGAGUGCUGUAUAAAUGUUAUUGUGUGUGUGUGUAGGGGGGGGUAAAUAAAAAAAUAAAAAAAACAGGCAUUAUUCCCCCCCCUCCCUUCUUACCUUUAGCCUGGAAGGGAGGGGGGGACCGGCACGCUGGGACUGGGAGGGGGGGUCCGGCACGCGGUGUUCCCUGGUGGUCCUCGUGGGUGAGUGAACUCUAGCCUGUUAGGCUAGAGUUCACUCUCGCGAGAUCCGGUUGUUGCCAUGGCAACGUGCCGGAUCUCGCGAGAGGAACCCGGCGGAGCUGCAAGUUAGAGCUCCGCCGGGUCCUCUCUCCAGCCUGGCUGGCUGUCUCCCUCUCCCCGCCGGCGGCCGCAUGUGGGCCGGUCAGGGAGAUCCUUGAUCUCCCCACCGGCCCUCCAUGGCAAACAGCGGGGCCGGCGCUCGGAUAGCGCCGGCCCUGCAUAGACCGGCAGGGGAGAUCCUGUGAUCUCCCCUGCCGGCCUCGGCCCAUGGCCACCGCGGCCCACCGGGCAUUUGCCCGGUGUGCCCGAUGGCCAGUCCGGGCCUGUAUCCCUGUGUCCUUAGGAUAUUUAUUCCUUUUUUAACAAUACUAAUUUAAACGUUCUAUUUUAUGUAUAAAAUUUAUUUAGGAAUUUCUCUACAGAGGACACUGGUACACGCAUACUAAAAAAGAGCUAUCUACUUAACACACAUGCAUUCUCAAACACAUGCAAAUACAUACACGUAAUCCGACACACACAAUUUUAUUUUUAUACCUUAGGCUCGCACCUUCUUGGUGCAGGUUUAUCAGAAAUGUAUUUAUUUGUGGGCCUAAAAACUGCGACAUGUGAUUUUUGCCCAAGGCCAAAAUUCUGAUUUCAGAGCCUCCACGUGCCAGAAUCUUGGGGGUGGCAGACUCUUUUCCUGGCACCAGAUAAAUUGGGUAUUGUUGUAUGUAAAAGGGGGUGUGGCUUAAAAAAAAACUUGUUUUUAUUUUAUUUAUUUUUUUUAGAGAGGGGAUUUUUUUUUUUUUUUAAGAAAUAUAUACAAACCAAGAUAAGAAGCAUGGCACCACAAGAAGUGACAUAAGAUAAAAUGUAAAAUUCAGUUUAACCCCUUAAGGACACAUGACAUGUGUGACAUGUCCUGAUUCCCUUUUAUUCCAGAAGUUUGGUCCUUAAGGGGUUAAAGAGAAAAAUUACCCAAAUCACAAAAAAAUAAAGUUUGUUUUGCAAUGUGGAGAGGAUUGCGCAAAAGAGCCUGCUAUCCUGAAUGCACAUCCAAUGGACCAAGUGGCAUUCUAGAUUUGCAUGGACGCAAAGGUAAAGGAGGGAAAGCUGUAAGUUAUAGACUGUGUCGCCAGUGCCAUUUGCAGCAGUCGGCCACAGAGGAGAGCCUACCACCAUCAUAUUAGCCCUGCAUGUGACCUGGGCUGUGGAUGAGUGAUUUCAUCUGCUGCCAGGGACUUAUGAAGCCAGAGAAAAUGUUACAUGCACUGCACUAUGAUACUCCUUCCAUCCUGCUUCACUUCUUAUAUUGCCGAUAUGGGGGGCAGUUGGCAUCUUGCCAAACAGCACAGUCUACUCAUGGACUGAUUUAUAUCAAAAGCAUCAGCACGCACAGCGUUCUCAAGCAAAAAGUCUAACGUAAUAUAUAUAUGCACUCAAAUAUAAGUGAACAGUUGAGUAGCAAGAACGUAAGACUGUCCCCCUACACUCCAGUCAAAUACAAAAUCUGUGAUAAAGAAAAUUAGCUCCCAUCGUGAGGAAUACUUAUCAGUGUGUCCAUUUUUCAAAUUGUAGAGAAACAUAUGGAAAAUAGAAAGGGGGGGAAAAAAAACAUCCUAGUGCAGAUCAAUUUAAAAACUAGAAAAAGCUAUAUAACAGUUGCUUUAAAAACUGCAGAUCUAAAAUGCAUGAAUAUCUAGUAUCUAGAAUGACCAAAUAGAGCAAUAUUAAUAGAAGUAUUUAAACUACAUCCGAUCCUCUUGUGGUACCAGCUAAAUGCUGAAUACAUAGCCAAAACGUGGUUUGAAUAAUAACACCAUCCAGUGGCAUACACACAAUCCAUGGGACCCCAGUGCGAAACUGAUCCGUGGGCCCCCCCCUCCCGACAUACACAUAUAUUCAUUCAUUCAUUCAUACAUACAUAUACACCGGCACAGGCAUACAGACAGGCACACAUAUAUACAUACAGAGACACACACACACAUACCAACAGACAUAUACAUACAAACAGACUGGCACACACACAUACAGACAGGCAUACAUACAUAGACAUACAUAGACACACAAGGCGCGCGCACACAUACAUACAUACAAACAGACAAGCACAUACAGACACACACAUACAUACAAAGACAUACAUACACACACACUAUUUUUCACCCUCCUGUUUCUUACCUUUUAGGUGUAGGAGGGUGACUGGGGUUCAGGGGUGGCUCAGGUGGAUGGGAGUCAGAGUUCCAAUUCUGACUCCCUGGUCUUCCUCUCGCGCGGCUCUCAGUGUUAGCUGGGAGGAGUGACGUGCGGUCACUUCCUCCCAGCUCGGUGUGAUGUAAACACAGGGGGCCCGGUCGCACUGUAAAAGUGCCCAGCGCUGACCGGGCCCCCUUACAAUCCAUAUCCAUCGGGUGGCCCUGACAGCAUGGGCCACCCGAUGGACCCCUUGGACAGCGGCCCCGGCGGUUUGCCGCGCAGGCCGGGUUCGCAAAAGAUAAUGGCGGGUCCCCGGUCGCAGGGGGCCAGGACCCCUGGAGUGACUGGCCUGGUCGCAGCUGCGACACCUGCAACCGUGGUAUGUAUGCCAGUGACCCCAUCAGCAACUAAAGCCCUCUUUAUAUACGCAAGGCUUGCACCUCCAUAGACCAUCUGAUAGAACUGAAGCGGUUCCCAAUUAAUCCACAGUGGCUGGAAAACCUUCAUGAAAACAUCCAAAAAGCGAACGAUAGAGUGCCAUGGAUGCAAUUAAAAUAAAUGUUUUUAUAGAUCAAAACACAAUUGAAAACAAAGUGUUGGCAGAAACUAUGCUUUCACGGCGUCUGUUUAGUUUUGUGGAUUCUUAAUAGAAACUCUGUCUUCCCCAGCUAUAUGUCUCGAGACGUCUUUUCCACUUGGUGUGCUUCUUCCAGUCCAAAUGAAUGUUCCAUGUCACUCGAUCUGAAUAAAUAGGCAUAGGAGUCUUCUCAUUGGUGAUCUCUUCUGUAACCAUUGUGGUUCCCCCUAUUUAUAACUAUAAAUUCUUUAAAGCAUAGAAUUUAACCGUACAUAUAUCCUGGCUAUAAUAUUAUAUAAUUGGUAAGAGUUCCUAUAUUUAAAAUAUAUACACACCUCACCCCUCUGUCCGGCCUUACCUUGGCUUCCUGUAUGCUAUAGGAGUCAAUUCAAGGUACUAAUUAACACCUAUAAAGCACUGAACAACUCUAGCCCCUCUUAUAUCUCUUCACAGAUCCAUAGGUAUGUCCCUUCUCGGUCUCUCCGCUCUGCCCGUGACCACCUCCUGUCCGUUGUUCACACCCGUACGGCCAACUCACGCUUGCAGGACUUCUUGCAGGCGGCUCCCUUCCUGGAAUAGCCUGCCAACUGCCAUCAGACUCUCCCCUAGUCUUGCAUCUUUUAAGAAGUGCCUUAAAACCCAUCUCUUUAGGAAAGCUUAUGUCCUCCCAGACUAACCUCUACCUCACAUACUUGUCUCUUGCUUUCUCCUAAAAGGCAGCCCACCUUUUUUGAUUCCAAAUUCCUGUCCUAUUUUGUUUUACACCCCACCUCCUAUAGAAUGUAAGCUCAUUUGAGCAGGGUCCUCUCCAACCUAUCUUUCCUGUAAGUUUUUUUUGUAAUUGUUCUAAUUAUAGUUAAAUCCCCCUCUCAUAAUAUUGUAAAGCGCUACGGAAUCUGUUGGCGCUAUAUAAAUGGCGAUGAUGAUAAUAUAAAUAAUUGAGAAUACAAUAAAAAAUAGGGAUGGUCCUGGAAGCAAUAUAGUUUUUUGGGGGGGGCGGAGCUAGCAGGGGAACUGAGCGGAUGCACAGCACUGAGCUCUGAGACCAAUUGGGCAACAAACUUGAUUUUUCUUUGGAAUCCUGGUCAAAUGAUGCCACACCUUGCAACAGAUACAGGAGUGGAUAAUGGGUCAAAAAAAAAAAAAAAAUAGAACUGAUAGAGGUUUUACAAGUAGAGAAAUUGGGGAUCUGCUGUGGAGCUCCCAAAAGGGUGCAUGGGCCAAGAUGCCGCUGGGGGAUGAAAUGGCAUCUUAUUCCUCAUUGGAUGCUUAUACUGAUCCGGGUGAGGGAACAACAUUUAGUUUACCACCAGAGUGCAGCCCCAAACACUUAAGUACCGGAGACCCGGUCACAGCGGAGCUGCUCUAAAGUAUGCUGACAGACCUGCGUAAAAUCACAGCCGCUGAUAUGGCCUAUUACAAAAUCCCCAUUGAGGUCGCCACGACCAAGCUUACUCUGCUUGAAGGCCUCCUUUAGUACCAAAGACACAAGAAUAACAGCGGUCGAAUAGGGGGCUGACCUGCAACGCCAGCAUUUCAGCAUUUGGAUCUCAUGGAUUUACCCCAAUUCAUCCACCGCCUGUUUGCAGCCCUGCUACCGCCGAAACAGGUGAAAAUUACGAGAUUGGACUGCAUGGUUCGCUUANNNNNNNNNNNNNNNNNNNNNNNNNNNNNNNNNNNNNNNNNNNNNNNNNNNNNNNNNNNNNNNNNNNNNNNNNNNNNNNNNNNNNNNNNNNNNNNNNNNNGGCCGCAGAAGACAAAAUGCGGCCACUGAAGAAAUGGUAUUAGCUCAUGGGACCGAGCUACAAACUCUCCAUGACCAAUUGCGCUCACUUGAAGAUGCAAAUGAGGACCUGAACAACAGAACACGGCGGAACAACAUCAGAGUGAGGGGCAUUCCGGAAUCCGUCUCCACAGACCUACUAACCGACACACUCACAGAGGUCUUCCAAAACCUUCUCCCAGAAGCUACAGCUGCCGACCUCCUUAUGGAUCGGGCUCAUAGAGCGUUGCGAGCUCCCAGCACCAAUAUGUCCACCCCCAGGGAUAUCAUCGUCAGACUACAUUUCUACCACAUUAAAGAACGAACAAUGAAAGCAGCCCGUGAUAGCCCUGUGGUGGUGGAGGGGGUUCUGGUCCAGCUGUUCCAGGACCUGGCGCCGACCACCCUAAAGCGCAGGAGAGACCUGCGCCCACUCACACAACACCUUACCCGACACGGCCUCCGGUAUGCCUGGGGUCACCCCUUCAAGAUCAUCAUCCGCAAAGAUGGCAGGUUCUAUUAUAUCACGAAGCCGGAGGAAAUUCCCACGCUCCUGGACCAGUUGGACCUGCCACAGCUACCCACCACAGCGCACCCCAGUACUGACCAGGCUCAACAACGACCGCUGACCAGCAAUCUACCCACCAGGACCGGUGACCGCUUGCACCGGAACGCGACUCCAAGUCAGCUGGAAGCUACACCGCACUAACCUCACGAGGAUGCCAGAACGGAGAAGCGGUCUCUUGCCCUCUGUGCCCAUGCACUCAGACGGAACCCCCGCUCGUGGGGACUGUUGGGACCCCCAUAGGGAACGGAAAUUAUUUUUCCUUUUUUUUUUCUCCCGGCCUCGGGCCUUGGCCCCCUGGGACGGAGACCACACGCCCCUUUUACAACACGACUGGUCAUGGGACUCACCCUCCACACCCCGGACGCCCGCGCGGGCGGGAAAGCCAGGUCCCCACGGGUCUCGGAGGUCCCAAAAUAAUGUGUGAGGUUCCUGUGUUGUGUGGUGCAGUCUGGGCCAAGGGGACUCCUGUGUCUCGGCCCCGCCUGCGCGGGGAGCGGCCCACAGUAAGCUCAGGGUGGUGUUAUGGCAGAUGUGCACGCGUGGGGCGACUGCAUGUCAGAGUCCGGGGGCCAAGCACAUGCAGCCCAUAUGCCUCUACCUGUCUCAUCGUGAUGGGGGUGCCAUGUGGCCUCCCCAUCCGGGCCUGUUAGUGGGUCGCCCCUCGGGCACCGGCAUGCGUGUGGUGAGCCCGCCCAUGCUGGGCCUAGUCCGUGACCAUCACCCCCUCGACCCAGUGUGCGGGGCGGGAGCGGAGGGCUCAAAAUAGGGGUCUCGGAGAAGAUCUCCAAAAUCAGGACCAAAAACGGAGAACUGUCAACGGACCCCGAAAUCAUAGCCCGUGAAUACCUAAAAUAUUACUCCGACUUAUACAACCACAAUGCCUCGACAUCAGUGGGAGAUGCGGCGCACACACGGACGCCAUAUUCUCCUUCCUGAAACCCCUCAACCUUCCCACCCUUUCUAAACGGGAGCAAAACAGACUGGAAGCACCCGUGGAGGCGGAAGAGAUCGCCUCGGUCCUCAAGACACUGAAACCCAUCUACUACAAGACAUUCCAAAUGAUUCUUAUACCACAAUUAUGCAAAGUUUUUAACGCGGUGCUGGAAGGCCACCCAUUCCCCCCGGACAUGCUGGCGGCCGACAUUUGCCUUCUACCCAAACCUGGGAAAGAACACCUAGACCCAGGGCACUAUCGUCCAAUUUCCCUACUAAACAUCACUGGCCAACCGCCUCAAUCCACAUCUUUCCACGCUGAUUCAUCCAGACCAGGUCGGAUUUAUCCCCACACGGCAGGCGGCGGAUAACACUAGAGGAGCCUUUGACACGAUUUGGUACACCAAACAUCGCAACAUCCAUUCGGUGGUGCUCUCGCUGGAUGCGGAGAAGGCGUUUGAUCGCCUUCUCUGGCCAUUCAUGUACGGAGUACUCGCACACCUGCAAUUUCCGCCAGGUUUCCUGAACAUCCUACGGGCAGUCUACCACCGCCCCACGGGAACGCUCCUACUUCCACACAUCAACGCACAAACUUUUACCAUUGCCAACGGGACCAGACAGGGCUGCCCCCUUUCCCCUCUCCUUUUUGCAAUCGCACUGGAACCCUUGCUCCAAGCUAUCCGCCUCCACCCCACCAUUCGGGGAGUGCAGACACAGUGGCGGCGUACGCCGAUGAUGUUCUCCUCACUCUAACGGAUCCCAUAUCCUCCUUGCAUGCAACGCUGCACCUGUCCCGCGGAGUACACGAGUGUGAGCAUAAACACAUGGCAACUGACAGUCUCCCCCCCCUCAAGCCCUGUACCCCUCCUGCCUGCGCACGUCCCACCAACAUCAACGUAUCCCCCUUUCCCCUCUCUUCUAUCCCCCGACAAACACGACAAAAGCACACACAGACACACACACGCUCAGAACAGGAGGAACAUCUCUCAUACACGCGAAGGUAUGGGAAUGCACAUCCCACAAGACCCCACAAAAUCUGUUAAUCGACAAACAAAUGUACUAACUGUGAAUCUUUGUGGUUUUUGCUGUGUAUGACGGUACCCCCUCUACGCUCUCUCUUUGUUCUGUAAUCUCAUAUAUGUCAUAAAUAAAGAAUUUAUAAAAAAAAAAAAAAGCCAUGGGCUAUAAUGGCAGCUGGAAAGAAUAAUCUAUCCAUUAACAUCCACCGACUUAAAAUGGGUCUUCGUUACUAUGGACGAGUUGUAGAUAAAGAUGUUGAGGUCCCUAAAAGGUAAUAUUGGAAAUUACUAUAGUUUCAAGUAAGUUUAUUAGCCCUACUGUUCUUGAGAAAAGAGAGGAAUUGAUGCAGUUUUUGCCUCCUCCCUUCCUUAUAAAGAAAGGGUAAUUUGUGUACCUGCAAUAUGACACAAGUUUAAAACUCCAGUUGUGUUAACCAUAUGUGAAGGUUUUCUCCCAAUGGGCCAUAAACAAGUUAGCAUAACUGGGGGCAAACCUCAUGUCCAUCUCUCUACCAGACACCUGUAAGAAUAAAUCCUCCCCAAACCAGAAAUAGACAAGAUAAUAGUCCACACACCAUAUCCCUCAAAAUAUGAAUCAUUUGUAGUGCAUAUUUUAAGUAGGACUUACACUUNNNNNNNNNNNNNNNNNNNNNNNNNNNNNNNNNNNNNNNNNNNNNNNNNNNNNNNNNNNNNNNNNNNNNNNNNNNNNNNNNNNNNNNNNNNNNNNNNNNNCUUCACUAAAGUCUGGAGAAGAAAGUGACUGUAUUUGGACAAAUUAGAGGUCACUGAGCUUAUGCCAGAAAUAAUUGGCCCUCCUUGGGGAUAGGUAUGAUCUUUAUGUAAAGACAAAGAAAAAAGCUUGUACCUAGCUGGUAGAUGUGGGAAUAACAGAACUAUCCUAAAUUAAUAUAAAACAAAUGUAUGAACAAGGCCCACACCAAUCAGUCUUGAUAAAGUACCGUGCAAAUCACAAAAUAAUAUUACUCUCAGCACUCUUUGAAUAGUCUUGUUAAUUGCAGAACAUUCAGAAACAGAUUUUUUUUUUUCCCUUCAAAUCCCCACCGUGAUGAAUAUGUAACAACACUAAAUCACACUGAGACCCAAUAGUGUGAUAUUGUAUAACAAGAUUAAUAUUGAUGAAAUAAGAUGUAAUACACUCAGAAGUAUAGAUCUCCUGAUUAGCGCUCUUAUAACUGCUUCUGGUGAUACUUGCCUAGGAUAUAUAGAGGAUAGUAAUCGAUGGGUCUCCACACAGAUAGGGAUUUGAUGCAGAUAUUCUCAGUGAUUCUAUAAAAAGAAUAAUCAGAACACAGGGAGCACCUACAACCACUAUGAGACCUGCUUUUAUUUUUAAUUACCAAGAUUUCCUAUCAUAAAAUGUUUUUCCUCUGCAAGUUAAAUUUUCUUUUAUUAAAGUAGCAGAACUUUGAGAAACAUUAUAUACAUUUAUUUCUGAAGCAAUUUUUUGUUUUCACAGAGAACUCCAGACCAGUAAGUGAUCAGAUGCAAUAAUGGAUUCGCUUUCUGUUACAUGAUGUAUAUCUUUUGUUUUCAGACUUUCCACGUGAGUUUGAACACAGGCCUGAUGAGCGUCAUAGAAGGGGAUCCCUCUGUGAUAAACACUGUGCUAUAAAUAUGCAGACAGAAUUUGUGGAUACACAUUCUGGAUCCCACCAGCAUAGCUUUCUCACCCCCCGACUCCUGCCAGG
rnacentral:lncRNA from 1 species